rnacentral:lncRNA from 1 species
UCUCCUGAAUCUGGAGCUCAUACUUCCUCCCAUACACCAGGGGUUUUCGAAGUGUGCUCCCAGACCGGCGCCUGGGAACUGGUUAGAAAUGUGAAUCCUAGCCCAUGCUCCAGAUCUCCUGAAUCUGAGACCUUGGCGUAGGGCCCAGCGCGUGGUCUGAGCAAGCCCUCUGGGUGAUUCUGACGGACGCUGGAGUUUGAGAACCACUGUUUUACAGCAUGUCGUAUCCCAUUCCUGUCUGCCUUCCCGCCUCUCUGCAUCCUCGAAUUGCCAACCAAAAUUUGGGACCCUCAGACGCCUCCUAAGUUGAAUCACGUCCCCUUCACCCUCUUCACGUCAGGACACGUCCACUGCAGAGGGCACACUGGACCCGGGUCCACGUCCCUGCCUGUUUGUCUUCUCUCUACCUGGGUGUCCGCACCUCUUCAAGCAUGGUGUGACAAGCAGUGCCAUGUCCACACCUGGGAUCCGAACUGGCGAACCCCAGGCUGCUGAGAAGUGGAACGUGCAAACUUAACUGCUGCACCACUGGGCUGGCCCCAUCACAUGAACACCAUUACUGCUGAAGGUGCUUUGAGGCAGACCAGCUAUACCUGGAACUUCGACCUGGGAGCAUCUCUCUUAAGCUCAUCUCGUUUUCUUCGUGACUACUUUCCUUCUUCCAUUGCUUAGGCCAGUUUUUCUAAAAGCCCUUGGACUUUUUCAGAGACAGUUGCAAGGUGGAGGGACUCUGGUAAAAAUUGGGAUGUCUGCUGGACAAGGACAAAGAUGAACACCCAACAGCUCACCAUGCACCUUCCAAACACGACAGAGAGUUUGUAACAUCCUUUUUAUGGUCCUGGACCAGCGAACAGCGUCUGCCCUCUCUGCUCAGCUCUAGACCAAUGUUUCCAACUGCUUCUUGAGCGUCUUUCCCUGGAUGUUGCUAGAAGGGACUCAAAAGGAACCUGCUGGUCCUUCUUUGAUCUCAGAUCAUGGCUUCAUCAUGCACACAGCCAUCCAAGCAAAAAGUAGCAAUUAUUGUGUCUUCCUCAUAUUUUUUUUAAUCCAACUGGUCCAUGAGAGCUGUUAUUUCUGUAUUUCUACCACUGACAUGUCUUUUCCUCCCUAUUGCCAUUGUGACUCUCUAUUUGGACAACCUCCAGUGUCCUCUAACUAAUUUCCUCCCAUCCAAUCUCACCCUGCCCACUCCCUUCAAUCAGACACACACACACUUCCCUCCCGAAAAAUCUCUGGAUAUUUAUUGUGUAGAAUAAAGUACAAGUGUCAUAGGUUAGUGCUGAAGGUUUUUCCCAAUUUGAUCUCAAACCCUUCUUCUUAACUUCCUCUCAACCAAUGCACCCUGCUUCAACUCUGGGCCUUUGCAAAGGCUGCUCUUCUUUUCCUACUUCUCAUUAUUUUAUUUUU